rnacentral:lncRNA from 1 species
AAUCAAAAGGGCACUACAAGAAGAUAUUUAGUCUUGUAUUUUCCGGACCUGAUCAUCCAAUGAGUAUAAUAUAAUGUACAUGUGCGUGCGGGAGAGUGUAUAUAUAUGUAUAUAUGUAUUCCAGUGAGAGACCAGAAGGGUAUUAUUUUCUAUACAUAUUCUCUACGGUUUUGGAUCAGUAAUGAACAGGAUUAUCUUUUGUUUAUACCCUCAAUUAGGAGAUCACUGUCUUAAGAUUAAAAAA